rnacentral:rRNA from 1 species
GAUGAACGCUGGCGGCGCGCCUAACACAUGCAAGUCGAACGAUUAAAGCACCUUCGGGUGUGUAUAAAGUGGCGAACGGCUGAGUAACACGUGGGCAACCUGCCCCUCUCAUUGGGAUAGCCACGGGAAACCGUGGAUAAUACCGAAUACUUCGAGACUUCCGCAUGAAAGACUCGAGAAAGCUCCGGCGGAGAGGGAUGGGCCCGCGGCCUGUUAGCUUGUUGGUGGGGUAACGGCCUACCAAGGCAAUGAUGGGUAGCUGGGUUGAGAGACCGACCAGCCAGAUUGGGACUGAGACACGGCCCAGACUCCUACGGGAGGCAGCAGUGGGGAAUCUUGCACAAUGGGCGAAAGCCUGAUGCAGCGACGCCGCGUGCGGGAUGAAGGCCUUCGGGUUGUAAACCGCUUUCAGCAGGGACGAGGCGAAAGUGACGGUACCUGCAGAAGAAGCCCCGGCUAACUACGUGCCAGCAGCCGCGGUAAUACGUAGGGGGCAAGCGUUAUCCGGAUUCAUUGGGCGUAAAGCGCUCGUAGGCGGUCUGUUAGGUCGGGAGUUAAAUCCGGGGGCUCAACCCCCGUUCGCUCCCGAUACCGGCAGACUUGAGUUUGGUAGGGGAAGGUGGAAUUCCUAGUGUAGCGGUGGAAUGCGCAGAUAUUAGGAAGAACACCAGUGGCGAAGGCGGCCUUCUGGGCCAUAACUGACGCUGAGGAGCGAAAGCUAGGGGAGCAAACAGG